rnacentral:piRNA from 1 species
AAAACUUACAUCUGGUCCAAUUCGACGUU